rnacentral:rRNA from 1 species
AUUGAACGCUGGCGGCAGGCCUAACACAUGCAAGUCGAGCGGAGCGGCGGACGGGUGAGUAAUGCCUAGGAAUCUGCAUGGUAGUGGGGGAUAACGUCCGGAAACGGGCGCUGAUACCACAUCCUAUCAGAUGAGCCUCGGUCGGAUUGGCUAGUUGUUGGGGUAAGGGCCUACCAAGGCGACGAUCCGUAACUGGUCUGAGAGGAUGACCAGUCACACUGGAACUGAGACACGGUCCAGACUCCUACGGGAGGCAGCAGUGGGGAAUAUUGGACAAUGGGCGAAAGCCUGAUCCAGCCAUGCCGCGUGUGUGAAGAAGGUCUUCGGGUUGUAAAGUACUUUCAGCGAGGAGGCGUUACUCGCAGAAGAAGCACCGGCUAACUCCGUGCCAGCCGCCGCGGUAAUUC